rnacentral:rRNA from 1 species
GACGAACGCUGGCGGCGUGCUUAACACAUGCAAGUCGAGCGGUAAGGCCCUUUCGGGGGUACACGAGCGGCGAACGGGUGAGUAACACGUGGGUGACCUGCCCUCAGCUCUGGGAUAAGCCUGGGAAACUGGGUCUAAUACUGGAUAUGACUCCACGGUGCAUGUCGUGGGGUGGAAAGCCUUGUGCGGCUGAGGAUGGGCCCGCGGCCUAUCAGCUUGUUGGUGGGGNGAUGGCCUACCAAGGCGACGACGGGUAGCCGGCCUGAGAGGGCGACCGGCCACACUGGGACUGAGACACGGCCCAGACUCCUACGGGAGGCAGCAGUGGGGAAUCUUGCGCAAUGGGCGAAAGCCUGACGCAGCGACGCCGCGUGAGGAUGACGGCC